UUCAGCAAGUUUUUAUUUUCAGGGGAAGUCCGGUGAGAAUCCGGCGCUGACCCGCAACCGUAUGGGUGCUGUGUGGCACUGAAGUCGGAUUACCUGGAAAUAUUCUUUGGCUUCAACCGUCGUGGAUUACGGUUCUGCAGCCCGU
rnacentral:sRNA from 2 species